CAGUCGCCACGGUAACACGUAGGGUGCAUGCGUUAAUCGGAAUUACUGGGCGUAAAGCGUGCGCAGGCGGUUAUAUAAGACAGAUGUGAAAUCCCCGGGCUCAACCUGGGAACUGCAUUUGUGACUGUAUAGCUAGAGUACGGCAGAGGGGGAUGGAAUUCCGCGUGUAGCAGUGAAAUGCGUAGAUAUGCGGAGGAACACCGAUGGCGAAGGCAAUCCCCUGGGCCUGUACUGACGCUCAUGCACGAAAGCGUGGGGAGCAAACAGGAUUAGAUACCCCUGUAGUCCCUGUCUCUUAUAC
rnacentral:rRNA from 1 species